GAGGGUAUAGCCCAGUGGUGGAGUGCAUGCUCAGCAUGCACGAGGUCCUGGGUUCAAUCCCCAGUACCUCCA
rfam:Camelus ferus unplaced genomic scaffold scaffold259, whole genome shotgun sequence.